CUGUCGUCAGCUCGUGUUGUGAAAUGUUGGGUUAAGUCCCGCAACGAGCGCAACCCUUAUCCUUUGUUGCCAGCGGUCCGGCCGGGAACUCAAAGGAGACUGCCAGUGAUAAACUGGAGGAAGGUGGGGAUGACGUCAAGUCAUCAUGGCCCUUACGACCAGGGCUACACACGUGCUACAAUGGCAUAUACAAAGAGAAGCGACCUCGCGAGAGCAAGCGGACCUCAUAAAGUAUGUCGUAGUCCGGAUUGGAGUCUGCAACUCGACUCCAUGAAGUCGGAAUCGCUAGUAAUCGUAGAUCAGAAUGCUACGGUGAAUACGUUCCCGGGCCUUGUACACACCGCCCGUCACACCAUGGGAGUGGGUUGCAAAAGAAGUAGGUAGCUUAACCUUCGGGAGGGCGCUUACCACUUUGUGAUUCAUGACUGGGGUGAAGUCGUAACAAGGUAACCGUAGGGGAACCUGCGGUUGGAUCACCUCCUUA
rnacentral:rRNA from 2 species